GCAGCUAGCUCAGUGGUAGAGCAUGAGACUCUUAAUCUCAUAUUCAUGGGUUCUUGCCCACGUUGGGCA
rnacentral:tRNA from 1 species